AUCUAGACAUUAAACAACUGUAAAUCCACUUCCAGAUCAAAGACAACAUGACAGGCUAUAGAUCUAAAACAUAAAACAUCAAACAUCAUGAACAAGGAAAGAUCUAGAACCACUGACAUUCGUUGUCAGACGAAAAUGUUAAACUUUCCCAGAAUUUUAAAAACUUUAAAUCCGAGCACUUUAAUGUUAUGGAUCUGGGAUCUAACAACCCAGAUCACUAAAUAACAUCUUAUUACACAACAUUAAAC
rnacentral:lncRNA from 1 species